CCUACGGGAGGCAGCAGUGGGGAAUAUUGGACAAUGGGCGCAAGCCUGAUCCAGCCACGCCGCGUGAGUGAUGAAGGCCUUCGGGUCGUAAAGCUCUGUGGGGAGGGACGAACCGCUGUUGGUUCAUAGCCAACAGCAUGACGGUACCUCCUUAGCAAGCACCGGCUAACUUCGUGCCAGCAGCCGCGGUAAU
rnacentral:rRNA from 1 species